UAAAAGGGAUAACUUCUUUUGUCUCACUCUCUAGACAUGCUCACUCUAGAAGAAACUAGUUGCCAUGUUGUGAGGAUACUCAACAGUCCUGUGGAGCGGGCCACGUGUAGAAAGAUCACAUGUGGAAAGAAACUGACUUGCUAGCAGCAACUUUCCAGGAAACAAAGAGAAGACAAGAGAAGGGAAGGAUUGCUUAUCAACCUCUUUCCUGAAAUUGCCUAGCAGAGUUCAAAGCAAUGGUGACACCCAUAGUCCUUGAAUUACUCAUUUCCUGUAUGCUGUUUUGGGUGGCAGCCCCUGGAUCCCCCAGAGCCUUGCCUCAAUGGAGAAUCCCUGACACAAUCCAGAUGCAUGAACCACGGUUACUAGUUACAAGCAAAGCAUCCAGAACCAACUCCAACAGGUU
rnacentral:lncRNA from 1 species